AUUGAACGCUGGCGGCAUGCCUUACACAUGCAAGUCGAACGGCAGCACGGGUGCUUGCACCUGGUGGCGAGUGGCGAACGGGUGAGUAAUACAUCGGAACAUGUCCUGUAGUGGGGGAUAGCCCGGCGAAAGCCGGAUUAAUACCGCAUACGAUCUACGGAUGAAAGCGGGGGACCUUCGGGCCUCGCGCUAUAGGGUUGGCCGAUGGCUGAUUAGCUAGUUGGUGGGGUAAAGGCCUACCAAGGCGACGAUCAGUAGCUGGUCUGAGAGGACGACCAGCCACACUGGGACUGAGACACGGCCCAGACUCCUACGGGAGGCAGCAGUGGGGAAUUUUGGACAAUGGGCGAAAGCCUGAUCCAGCAAUGCCGCGUGUGUGAAGAAGGCCUUCGGGUUGCAAAGCACUUUUGUCCGGAAAGAAAUCCUUGGCCCUAAUACGGUCGGGGGAUGACGGUACCGGAAGAAUAAGCACCGGCUAACUACGUG
rnacentral:rRNA from 1 species